rnacentral:rRNA from 1 species
GUGCCAGCCGCCGCGGUAAUACGGAGGUGGCAAGCGUUACUCGGUUUGACUGGGUGUAAAGGGUUCGCAGGCGGCUAGAUAAGUGGAGGGUGAAAUCCUUCGGCUCAACCGAAGAACUGCCCUCUAAACUAUCUGGCUAGAGGCUGGGAGAGGAGAACAGAACUGCCGGUGUAAGGGUGAAAUCUGUGGAUAUCGGCAGGAACGCCUGUGGUGUAAACGGUUCUCCGGUCCAGUCCUGACGCUCAGGAACGAAAGCUAGGGGAGCAAACAGGAUUAGAUACCCUGGUAGUCCUAGCCGUAAACGAUGGGCACUAGGUGUUUGUCCGUAAGGAUGGGUGCCGAAGUUAACACGUUAAGUGCCCCACCUGGGGACUACGGCCGCAAGGCUAAAACUCAAAGGAAUUGGCGGGGGCCCGCACAAGCGGUGGAACACGUGGUUUAAUUCGAUGCUACGCGAGGGACCUUACCAGGGUUUGACAUGCUGGUAGUAAUCGCCUGAAAGGGUGGGUGAACUGUAACCAGUCAGUUGCCAGCACAGGUGCUGCAUGGCUGUCGUCAGCUCGUGCCGUGAGGUGUUCCCUUAAGUGGGAGAACGAGCGCAACCCUCGUCCUUUGUUGCUAUCUCUAAUGUUGAAUUAGAGAGCACUCUAAGGAGACUGCCCGCGUUAAGUGGGAGGAAGGCGGGGACGACGUCAAGUCCGCAUGGCCCUUAUGUCCUGGGCUACACACGUGUUACAAUGCCGGUUACAACGGGAUGCCAAACCGCAAGGUGGAGCAAAUCCUUAAAAAACCGGCUCAGUUCGGAUUGAGGGCUGCAACUCGUCCUCAUGAAGCUGGAAUCGCUAGUAAUGGCGCAUCAGCUACGGCGCCGUGAAUACGUUCCCGGGCCUUGCACACACCGCCCGUCAAGCGCUGAAAGUGGGAGGCACCCGAAUUCUCCG